UGGGGAAUAUUGGACAAUGGGCGAAAGCCUGAUCCAGCAAUGCCGCGUGUGUGAAGAAGGCCUGCGGGUUGUAAAGCACUUUCGGUUGGGAAGAAAAGUUUUUGAUUAAUACCCAAAAACCGUGACACUACCUUCAGAAGAAGCACCGGCUAACUCCGUGCCAGCAGCCGCGGUAAUACGGAGGGUGCGAGCGUUAAUCGGAAUUACUGGGCGUAAAGCGCGCGUAGGCGGUUAAAUAAGUCGGAUGUGAAAGCCCUGGGCUUAACCUAGGAACUGCACUCGAUACUGUUCAACUAGAGUAUGGUAGAGGAAAGCGGAAUUCCCGGUGUAGCGGUGAAAUGCGUAGAUAUCGGGAGGAACAUCAGUGGCGAAGGCGGCUUUCUGGACCAAUACUGACGCU
rnacentral:rRNA from 1 species